CAUUACAUAAGAGGACACUGACGAAAAUCUGGAACUAAGCCUCUGUCACACCUUCCACUCCAUCGCUGGCCUUGCACGUGGUUUGCACAACCCCUAAUUAUCUGGGUCGAAGCAUUUCUAGCAAUUACUCUCAAACCCCCUUCACAUGUGCUUUUCAACCAAGAACCAUCAGAGUUCAAUUUCACAAAAUCAGCUUUGGAGGAAUUCAGUGGCAGCUGCAUAUGCCCUCCCUGGUAUGGGCAUCAUUUCACCUCUAUGCUCAUACACUGCAGGACAUCUUGCUUUCCAGAUAUGCCAACAGAUGAAGGCUAUGUGGUGAGGAAGGCAAGGUCAGGAUGGUGUUGAGGGUGGAACCUCUUCAGGAUGGAUCUGGCCAUUUCUUUAACUUUACGAAUCCUCUUUUUUCUUGAGAUCUUUUUUGUGAACAUGACAAUAGUACCUCAUUUUUAUUGGACUUAUGUAAUACAAUGAAAUAUGUAAUACAAUGAAAUAUGUAAUACACCAGUAUAAUUAAGGUGUUCAAAAGUUUGAUGUUACUUCAUCAAUCUGUUUUAUCAACCAUACAUUCUAUUUUUGAUAUGAACUUAUGAUUAUUUGGCGUUUAUUCGAGGUGUUCAAAACAAGCUUCUUGCUGAACUAUAUACAUUCAUUGGUUUUUUUAAUGUCAUUAUUUUUCAUUUCCGUGUAGCCCUUGGGUAGUGCUUGAGAAACUCUUGGAUGACUCGAGUAUUUGCCAUGGACUUGAGAGGACAUGGAAGGUCAAUGACAGAAAAUGAGGCUGAAGGCCUAUUUUAAUUGUGCUUGUUGGCCUCAGACAGAUUGGAGAGCA